GGACAGGAUGUCUACCUCAAGUGAACUCACUCCCUGUACAGAAGUAGAUUCAAGUCUGCAGUACUCCUUUCGUCAGAGGGACACAGCAUGCAAAUUUUACUUAUUAGUUACUUCUUAAUCAUCAAACUAUUUUCUGAAAGGAAUACAUGAAAAGAAUUCAAAAGGUUUCAGAAGAGCCUUCAAAUGAGACCAGGACCUGGACAGAAACAGUUGCUUUCUGCUCUGAAGAUUUAUUGCCCUCUCAGCUAAUGAAAGGAAAAAAGAGGAGAAACACAUCCUCAACUGGACAUAAUCA